GAUGAACGCUAGCGACAGGCUUAACACAUGCAAGUCGAGGGGCAGCACAGGUAGCAAUACCGGGUGGCGACCGGCGCACGGGUGAGUAACGCGUAUGCAACUUGCCUAUCAGAGGGGGAUAACCCGGCGAAAGUCGGACUAAUACCGCAUGAAGCAGGGGCCCCGCAUGGGGAUAUUUGCUAAAGAUUCAUCGCUGAUAGAUAGGCAUGCGUUCCAUUAGGCAGUUGGCGGGGUAACGGCCCACCAAACCGACGAUGGAUAGGGGUUCUGAGAGGAAGGUCCCCCACAUUGGUACUGAGACACGGACCAAACUCCUACGGGAGGCAGCAGUGAGGAAUAUUGGUCAAUGGGCGUAAGCCUGAACCAGCCAAGUCGCGUGAGGGAUGAAGGUUCUAUGGAUCGUAAACCUCUUUUAUAAGGGAAUAAAGUGCGGGACGUGUCCCGUUUUGUAUGUACCUUAUGAAUAAGGAUCGGCUAACUCCGUGCCAGCAGCCGCGGUAAUACGGAGGAUCCGAGCGUUAUCCGGAUUUAUUGGGUUUAAAGGGUGCGUAGGCGGCCUUUUAAGUCAGCGGUGAAAGUCUGUGGCUCAACCAUAGAAUUGCCGUUGAAACUGGGGGGCUUGAGUAUGUUUGAGGCAGGCGGAAUGCGUGGUGUAGCGGUGAAAUGCAUAGAUAUCACGCAGAACCCCGAUUGCGAAGGCAGCCUGCCAAGCCAUUACUGACGCUGAUGCACGAAAGCGUGGGGAUCAAACAGGAUUAGAUACCCUGGUAGUCCACGCAGUAAACGAUGAUCACUAGCUGUUUGCGAUACACUGUAAGCGGCACAGCGAAAGCGUUAAGUGAUCCACCUGGGGAGUACGCCGGCAACGGUGAAACUCAAAG
rnacentral:rRNA from 1 species